GGAUGCCGCGGUAAAGUCCAAAGAAGCCCUCCCUCUCCAAAAUCCUCUUCACCAUGAGGUUCAUCGGCAGCUGCUCGGCACCCUCAAUAGAGGCUGGGGGGGAGAAUCACACCAAACAAGGAAAACAAGGAUUGGCUCCUCGUACCUUGUGCCUGCAUCCGGGUGCGGAUCAGAGCCAGAGGGUAGCUGGCCAGCUGGCCACACGUGCUGGAUAAGGUUCCACAGCCGAGCAGCACCAGAAUCCCCGGGUUGGCCGAGUCUUUGGCGUAGCGGGACAGCCAGAAGUUCUUCAAGCUCUGAGGAUGGAUAUACAAUCCCCCUCAAGCCAACAAACUGUAUUUUGAAAGACGUUUAAGUCUGUAUUUUAAUGUAUUUAAGGCUUUUUAAGGACGGAGAGCUCCUGGACAGCCAGCUGCCCACCUCCAUGGGGUAGAUGACCGUUUGGGCCGU